GUUACGCCAUCGGAUGGAAGAAUCGACUGUAGUUUCUUCCUCCAGGUUUCAUCGUUGUUGAAAUGUCCGUUCUCUAGGGCGUUCUUCAGCGAUUUCUCGGAAAUUUUGAGGUGAUCGAUGAGUUCUGAAUCGGAGUAGUGGAAAAGAAGAUCGUCAUGAAUCAGUGACUGCCGAGGGACGAUACAGAACAAAUGAAUCAAUCUCUCCGCCGCUUCACCGACAUGGCCACGAACAACAUCACGGCCGGUGGAAGGAUCAAAAAUGGCGAGAUUGACAUAGGAAUUGGAAUAAGCCGAGUGGAAUAGGCCGCACAAACAAACCGGUUCUUGCGCUUUCCAGAUUUUGAGAAUACGGUAGAUAUCAACGAGAUGAUCGAGGAAGGUGCCGUGCUUGUGCCAGCACUCUCCGGC
rnacentral:misc_RNA from 1 species